rnacentral:rRNA from 1 species
CCAGACUCCUACGGGAGGCAGCAGUGGGGAAUAUUGCACAAUGGGCGCAAGCCUGAUGCAGCCAUGCCGCGUGUAUGAAGAAGGCCUUCGGGUUGUAAAGUACUUUCAGCGGGGAGGAAGGCGAUAAGGUUAAUAACCUUGUCGAUUGACGUUACCCGCAGAAGAAGCACCGACUAACUCCGUGCCAGCAGCCGCGGUAAUACGGAGGGUGCAAGCGUUAAUCGGAAUUACUGGGCGUAAAGCGCACGCAGGCGGUCUGGCAAGUCGGGUGGGAAAACCCCGGGGUCAACCUGGGAACUGCAAUCGAAACUGGCAGGCUGGAGUCUUGGAGAGGGGGGUAGAAUUCCAGGUGUAGCGGUGAAAUGCGUAGAGAUCUGGAGGAAUACCGGUGGCGAAGGCGGCCCCCUGGACAAAGACUGACGCUCAGGUGCGAAAGCGUGGGGAGCAAACAGGAUUAGAUACCCUUGUAC